rnacentral:rRNA from 1 species
AACGAACGCUGGCGGCAUGCCUAACACAUGCAAGUCGAACGAUGCCUUCGGGCAUAGUGGCGCACGGGUGCGUAACGCGUGGGAAUCUGCCUUUCGGUUCGGAAUAACUCAGGGAAACUUGAGCUAAUACCGGAUAACGUCGCAAGACCAAAGAUUUAUCACCGAAAGAUGAGCCCGCGUAGGAUUAGCUAGUUGGUGAGGUAAAGGCUCACCAAGGCGACGAUCCUUAGCUGGUCUGAGAGGAUGAUCAGCCACACUGGGACUGAGACACGGCCCAGACUCCUACGGGAGGCAGCAGUGGGGAAUAUUGGACAAUGGGCGAAAACCUGAUCCAGCAAUGCCGCGUGAGUGAUGAAGGCCUUAGGGUUGUAAAGCUCUUUUACCCGGGAAGAUAAUGACGGUACCGGGAGAAUAAGCCCCGGCUAACUCCGUG